UACAGAGGUCCCAAGCGUUGUUCGGAUUCACUGGGCGUAAAGGGUGCGCAGGUGGUCGGGUAAGUCUGACGUGAAAUCCCGCAGCUUAACUGCGGAAUGGCAUUGGAUACUAUUCGGCUAGAGGGUUGGAGGGGGGACUGGAAUUCUCGGUGUAGCAGUGAAAUGCGUAGAUAUCGAGAGGAACACCAGUGGCGAAGGCGGCCUUCUGGACGAUGACUGACGCUGAGACGCGAAAGCGUGGGGAGCAAACAGG
rnacentral:rRNA from 1 species